UCUUCCGUGGCGCAAUUGGCUAGCGCGUCUGACUGUUAUGGAGUCCGUGCUCUCUUCUGAGUGUUGUGGACAAAGUGCAAUCAGGAGGUUGACAGUUCAAGCCUGUCCGGGAGAG